CGUUGUUCGGAAUCACUGGGCGUAAAGGGCGCGUAGGCGGCUUUAUAAGUCGGGGGUGAAAGCCUGUGGCUCAACCACAGAAUUGCCUUCGAUACUGUAGAGCUUGAGACCGGAAGAGGUAAGUGGAACUGCGAGUGUAGAGGUGAAAUUCGUAGAUAUUCGCAAGAACACCAGUGGCGAAGGCGGCUUACUGGUCCGGUUCUGACGCUGAGGCGCGAAAGCGUGGGGAGCAAACAGG
rnacentral:rRNA from 1 species